rnacentral:rRNA from 1 species
GGGGAAUAUUGGGCAAUGGGCGAAAGCCUUACCCAGCAAUGCCGCGUGAGUGAAGAAGGUCUUCGGAUUGUAAAGCUCUUCGAUCAGGGACGAACACAAUGACGGUACCUGAAGAACAAGCCCCGGCUAACUACGUGCCAGCAGCCGCGGUAAUACGUAGGGGGCAAGCGUUGUCCGGAAUGACUGGGCGUAAAGGGUGUGUAGGCGGGCUCGCAAGUUGGAUGUGAAAUACCCGGGCUUAACUUGGGGGCUGCAUCCAAUACUGUCGGACUUGAGUGCAGGAGAGGAAAGCGGAAUUCCUAGUGUAGCGGUGAAAUGCGUAGAUAUUAGGAGGAACACCGGUGGCGAAGGCGGCUUUCUGGACUGUAACUGACGCUGAGGCACGAAAGCGUGGGGAGCAAACAGGAUUAGAUACCCUGGUAGU